rnacentral:rRNA from 1 species
UGCCAGCAGCCGCGGUAAUACGUAGGGUGCAAGCGUUAAUCGGAAUUACUGGGCGUAAAGCGUGCGCAGGCGGUUAUGCAAGACAGAUGUGAAAUCCCCGGGCUCAACCUGGGAACUGCAUUUGUGACUGCAUGGCUAGAGUACGGUAGAGGGGGAUGGAAUUCCGCGUGUAGCAGUGAAAUGCGUAGAUAUGCGGAGGAACACCGAUGGCGAAGGCAAUCCCCUGGACCUGUACUGACGCUCAUGCACGAAAGCGUGGGGAGCAAACAGGAUUAGAUACCCUGGUAGUCC